UUACGGCCAUAUUCGGGUGAAACAACGAUUCUCAUCCGAUCACCGUAGUUAAGCAACGUCGAUCCUGGUCAUUACCAAGAUGGGUGACCGCUUAGGAAUACCAAGUGCUGUAAG